rnacentral:rRNA from 1 species
UACGUAGGGUGCAAGCGUUGUCCGGAAUUAUUGGGCGUAAAGAGCUCGUAGGCGGUCUGUUGCGUCGGCUGUGAAAACCCGGGGCUCAACUCCGGGCCUGCAGUCGAUACGGGCAAACUGGAGUGUUGCAGGGGAGACUGGAAUUCCUGGUGUAGCGGUGAAAUGCGCAGAUAUCAGGAGGAACACCGGUGGCGAAGGCGGGUCUCUGGGCAACAACUGACGCUGAGGAGCGAAAGCGUGGGGAGCGAACAGG